rnacentral:lncRNA from 1 species
AGAACAAUAUGUGGUGGGAACCUAGAGAGGCUCUACAUAUAUUUGGUAUGAAAAUUGGAUGAAACUUGAUCCUUUAAUUCUGGAGCCAGAUUGUAUCAUUAGACCUGAAAUGAAGGAUAUGAGGGAGAUGAUGAAUGAAUAAAGAUGGGAUUCAGGAAAACUCCAACAAGCACUGCCAGAAAGAAUUAUCAAUCAUAUCUAAGAACAUUUGAGAAAUUUUAAGAAGAAGAUCCCCAAUACAAGUAUAUUUGGGUGCAGAGAUUG